rnacentral:rRNA from 1 species
UACGUAGGGGGCAAGCGUUGUCCGGAUUUAUUGGGCGUAAAGAGCUCGUAGGCGGUUCCGUAAGUCGUGAAGUCAAAUCUCUGGGCUCAACCCAGAAUCGCUUCCGAUACUGCGGUGACUGGAGUCCGGUAGGGGAGUGUGGAAUUCCUGGCGUAGCGGUGAAAUGCGCAGAUAUCAGGAGGAACACCAACAGCGAAGGCAGCACUCUGGGCCGGUACUGACGCUGAGGAGCGAAAGCGUGGGGAGCGAACAGG